rnacentral:rRNA from 1 species
UACGUAGGGUGCAAGCGUUGUCCGGAAUUAUUGGGCGUAAAGAGCUCGUAGGCGGUUUGUCGCGUCUGCUGUGAAAUCCCGAGGCUCAACCUCGGGCCUGCAGUGGGUACGGGCAGACUAGAGUGUGGUAGGGGAGACUGGAAUUCCUGGUGUAGCGGUGGAAUGCGCAGAUAUCAGGAGGAACACCGAUGGCGAAGGCAGGUCUCUGGGCCACUACUGACGCUGAGGAGCGAAAGCAUGGGGAGCGAACAGG